AUUUAACUUCCUAUUGAUGUUGGUGAGAGAAAAUUAGCAUUCUUCUUCUCCUCGAAGCCAAGAAUUUGCAUUCUUCAAUUUUCCAUCAAAGAGCAUUUUGAAGAGCAGAAAAAACCCUUCCGGUUUGAGAAAUCGUUUUAACUGGUCACGAAACGGGUUUGUUGUUUCAACGAAAAGAAAAACGACGAGAACGAGCAGUGGUGGUGGCACCGACAGUAGUAGUUGGCGCAUUCCUGAGGUUGCAACGCUAUCUACUCUUGCGCGGGAAGGAGAAAUCGAAAGAAAAGGAGAGUUCUGACAUGCUAUUUGUCGGCGUCAUUGUUGGUGGCUGCGACGUCGCUGUUUAUGGCUUCGGCGUAGCUGUUGGUGGUUGGUGGUGGCUGGUGGAGAAACCUUGGUUCUAUGGCAGCAGUGGUCCGAAGGGGAAGAGAAGAAAACCCUAGGUCUCCUUCAUCAAAGGUAUUUAAAUAGUAAAGGUAUGAAACCAAAUUAAAAUAUCGAAGCAAACUAUAAAGCUGGAGAGAGAUUAAAUGCAAGAAUAUUAAAGAUAAAUAUAUUGACGAUUCAGAAAGUUGUGCCAUAAUAAGGGUAAACCUAGAAGACAACCUAAUAUCCUUAAGGGAAAAAAUUGGAGUCCAAUGAAAAUAUGGACGGGUUGCUUGACAAUGAUUUAUAAGGAAUGAAAAUAGUUGUAAUUUGGCAAGGUAUAAAGAAUGUCAACUUGGCUUUCUUGCUUUCUCAUUUGUUUCUUCUUCUUAAUUGGUUUUUAAUUUCUAACACGGGGAAGUAUGUUGUUCAAGGAGAAGCAGAUAAGGGCAGACGAGGAGAGAUUACUGGAGGAGUAUGUACCUAAACAACUGAUGAGUUUGAAAAUUUGAUUCAAAGCUCACCCAAGUUUUAUCUGCAUCAAUAACAUGGAUUUCAUGAAAAUUUGUUUUUUUUUUACUUCUUUAGGUUUUUUUGGAGAAGUUAUACAUAUAAUAAGUUAGUACAUUAUUGGACUUUACAGUUAUUUUAUGAGUUUAUUUUUCUGUUGGGUUUAUUGUCUUCUGAUUGUUUGUUCUAUUAAAUUUCCUUGAUGUGUUGUAUUCCAGAUAUAUUAGAAAAGUUCAUGUUUUACAUUAAAUCAGCAUUUGAGGAUUCAUGUCUGAUUUUUCCAAAAUUCAACAAGGCAACUAUAACAUCCCUAUUUUUAAUAAACUGUAUUAUUUACUUUAAAUAAAA